rnacentral:lncRNA from 1 species
AGGAGAGUCCUAAGUGAUCCAUCUAAUGUCAGCAAAUUGCUUACUAAUGUGUUGACUUAGGGCCACCCUCAAAAGCAAAAUGAAAAGCCUGGAAUUUAUAGCAUCUCAAUGCAUCAGCUGAUAAGCUUUUACUGGUUUAAUAUCCUUCCAGGCUUGCAGCUUGGAGCCACUUCAAGUUAGCAACAGAAUGUUUGCCAUCUCUAUGUGAUAAAGGAAGUCAAAGGGAUGAACAAACUUCAGGACCAUUAUGCUGUUUGGUGAGAUGGAAAUGAAAAAGCUAGAGAAGUCACGGGUUGGGGGUGUGUGAGAGCUGGGCCUUCAAGUCCGGCAUCUGACGGAUUGUUAGCCUCACCCCUCAAACAAUGGUCUGGACUUUAGCUGGAGCAGAGAUAACAUAGUGCAUUUGGAAAGUUUUAAUUGCAGCAAUAAAAGACUAUGCCUCAAUUAUAGGACAGAUGCUAGCAAAGUUUCCAGAUAAGGAUCAAAGGCAUCUAAGGAGUGGCCACUGCACUUUGGGACACACUAGGCUUUCUGUACACACUGCUGGGGAAUUAGCACAUCAGCUUUCCGACCUUUCUAGGUCCUUUGAUCUGAGUUCCCAAGCAAGUAAGUGUAUCAAGACUACUGUAUCAGCCACACAGGUCCAACACUCCCUUGCUGAAUUUUAAUCCUGACACUCACCAGUACAAAACCUAACACCUGACCUUUGCAGUUCUUACCACAAAAGUUCAGUGUGCUUAAAAGAACCUGUGUUGUCACACUACACCACUUUGCUCCGCUUCUGUUUUGCUAGCAGCAUGCCUACGAUAUUUUAAAUCCAGACCACCUUGGAAAGAGAACGUCUUAGUGUAUGAGAACAUUGUGUUUGUAGAAUUUAGAUGGAUAAAACCCAAAGAAAAGAGCUUCAUUAACUUUCCAAGGAAAAGAAGGGGAAAAUGUAGAACCACAAUUUGUGUUUUAGCAAGAUAGAUUAUAAACUCAGAAUGAUCUGAGCUAACCUGAUCCAGAGUACUGAAAGCAUAUUCAUCUCAGCAUAUGGAGCAUUCAAGGACAAAGCUCCCAAGUGCAUUAUUACCCCUUUCUUUUCUAUUCAUUAGACUUCUUUUUUUCUGAUGGGACUUUAGUUGGAUCUAGAGUGCCUGUUCUCCAGCAGAUUAGAGGCUUUAGCUACAUGUCCGCUAAGGUGGUAGAGCAUCUGAUGAGGUCAGUUUUGUAAGGCAAAGCUGCAGCUCAGCAGUCACACUGGUGCUGCAAAGCUUUUGUUUUUAGUUGCUAUUAUAUGAUACUAACAUAAAUGGUAUUUUGUUUUUAAAAUGUCUUUAGUUCUGGUUUCCACUGAGGCACAGAUCACAGUGGCUGCUCAGAAAGGGACCAGAUGCCACUUCCACUUUGCUGACUCACUGGAGCACUGUCUACCCAUCUUUGACAGCAGUGAGCCAGAUGGAUUUCUUGUAGUAACAGACUUUCUUUCUGUCUCUGCCUUUCUUUCUUUCUUUCUUUCUUUCUUUCUUUCUUUCUUUCUUUCUUUCUUUCCUUCCUUCCUUCCUUCCUUCCUUCCUUCCUUCUCUCUCUCUCUCUCUCUCUUUCUUUCUUUCUUUCUUUCUUUCUUUCUUUUUCCUUCUCUCUUUCCUUCUCUCUUUCCUUUUUCUUUCUCUUUCCUUUCUUUCUUUCUUUCUUUCUUUCUUUCUUUCUUUCUAAUGCAAAAGUGAAUUUUACUCUUUGUUCAUGGUGAAAAGGAGAUAUAUCUUAAAUAUAUGGUAAUUUCCAGAUUAAAAGAAUUGUUACCAUCUGCAGAUGGUCAAUUUGCUACCUCCACAUUGUUAUUCACACGUCCUAUUUACUAAACUCUCCAGUUUCUGACUCAAACCUUCAAUCAGAUCUCAAUACUUAAAUUACUAAUCUUAAGUUUUGUGCAGUUAAGAUGGGCCAGCAGACAUGGGAAAAAACAUAGGGCCUCCUAUCUUCCUAGAACAACUUGGUAUUUCUGGAAUGCUGCUAACUGUAUCACAAAGCUAGUCUCUCACUCAAAGAAGCUUGCUAGAGACAUUGUUCACUGUGGCUCUGGAAUUUGUUCUCAAUGUAGUUACUUCUAGGAAAUCUCUAGGCACACUGAUUUACCUCAAACUGGACUUGAAUUUUAGCAAACAGUUUUGUUUUUGAAGACCAUCAUAGGUUCAAGCUGCAGGGCC